rnacentral:rRNA from 1 species
GAUGAACGCUGGCGGCGUGCCUAAUACAUGCAAGUCGAGCGAACGGACGAGAAGCUUGCUUCUCUGAUGUUAGCGGCGGACGGGUGAGUAACACGUGGAUAACCUACCUAUAAGACUGGGAUAACUUCGGGAAACCGUAGCUAAUACCGGAUAAUAUUUUGAACCGCAUGGUUCAAAAGUGAAAGACGGUCUUGCUGUCACUUAUAGAUGGAUCCGCGCUGCAUUAGCUAGUUGGUAAGGUAACGGCUUACCAAGGCAACGAUGCAUAGCCGACCUGAGAGGGUGAUCGGCCACAAGGGAACUGAGACACGGUCCAGACUCCUAAGGGAGGCAGCAGAAGGGAAUCUUCCGCAAUGGGCGAAAGCCUGACGGAGCAACGCCGCGUGAGUGAUGAAGGUCUUCGGAUCGUAAAACUCUGUUAUUAGGGAAGAACAUAUGUGUAAGUAACUGUGCACAUCUUGACGGUACCUAAUCAGAAAGCCACGGCUAACUACGUG